AUUACCAUUGGAAGCACCCUGCAAAAGUAAAGGAUCAAUAAGUUUUUCAGCAAAUAAAAAGAGAAAAAUAAAAGCAUAUCCAUACCUUCAACCAAAGGAACAGUAGGGAAAUGCAUGCUGUCCACCAAAAUAAAAGACACCAGAAAAUCAGAUAGUGAAAUAGCUUGAAUACUCUAAAAACAAAACCACAACAAACCAGGUAUAAUAUACGUGGUAAUUCACCUUGAUUUACAGUAUUUUGUUGAGAUGAAACAACAGAAAUCAGGGUUUCCUUCAAUUUUCCUAACCCUGCCUUCAUGUCCAAAUCAAGAUUCUUGAACAAUAUCUAAAAGGAAAAAACCAACAUAAGAAUAUGUACAAAAUCACAAUUGUACAUGUGCUACACAUACAUAGAUUCAAACAUACUUCAAUUGAAAACAUGAGAAUUGAGAUUUGGCAUUGCAUGUAUUUCAGCAACUAAUCCAAGAAUUAGGUGGUUUAUACGCAUGGUUCCAAAACCUAUAGCAAGGGAAUUGAAGUGAAAAGAAGAAUACCAAUAACCACAGUGAUUUUGAGAAUAAACAUAAAUCAAUGGAGUUACAUACCUUGGAGGUAACGGGAAUUAUCCCAAUCAUUAAACCCUUUCAUAAGCCUACACAGGUUAAUAAGUAAACUUAUCAUAUAUGGCACCUAGUCAAGAAGAUGAAAAGAAACAAAAUUACAGAUUUUUCAGCAAUAAACGCUCUUCACAACUUGUUUGUAUGAGCCUGUUGCAUUCCCAAAUAACAAAUUAAAACCAACAGGGUUCAAAAAUACCUCAAGAUUGUGAAAUUGGGAAACAAAUAGUCGAAUCAGACUAGCAAAAAGAAACCCUACGUCCACUAUGACCAUCGCCUGUGAGAGGCGUCGAUUUGGGUGAAAGCAGACAUGUCGAAGAAAAAAGGGGAUGAAAAUCAUUCGUCUGCUUUGCAUCAAGAUUCUGGACGUUUGAUUAGCUGAGAUCAAACCAAAGAAUAUUUCAAGUCUUCUCUUCAGUUGGGUUGGAGCGUAUAAGUUGAUAUUUGGGGUGAGAGGCUUCGGUUUCAAGAAACAGAGGCGGUAGAGGAGAAGUUAAGUGAAGCGUUGGAUCAAAAAGGGAAAAGAAGAGGGAAGCAGCAGGCUAGGUGGCGUGAGAUGUACAGUUAUUGAUCAUCGGAUGGAAAUUAUGAGAAAGGGUAAUGUGGGUUUAUAGAAUGGAUAACUGAAGAAAUAAUGGAGAGCAUGAGAAAGAGAACGUUUGCCCUCCGACAUCAUCGUCUUCUUCCCGCUGUCACCAAUUUCUUGAAAUCAAUUUAUUUUUACUCUUGGAGCACCAGAGGAAAAUGGUUAAGAUCCUCUUAAUGUCAACAAAACGAGUGUUCUGAGGAACAAAAUUGAAAAAGUGGUUACGAAGAGGAAGAAGAAAGAAAGAACGAUGAAGAGUUCAGGCAGGACUGGCACUCACUUUGUAGUCAAACGAACCGUUCGUGCCCCAACCGAAACGCUUGAAGAUCAUGAAAUUAUUAAGAAUCUUACGCAUUAAUUAAUUGCCUAUUAUUAACCAGCCAUAUUAACGUUGGAUUGUUUUUUAUUUACCAAUAAUUAUAAUUAUU
rnacentral:lncRNA from 1 species